GGGCUGCAGUGGGGAAUAUUGGACAAUGGGCGAAAGCCUGAUCCAGCCACGCCGCGUGAGUGAAGAAGGCCUUCGGGUUGUAAAGCUCUUUCAGCUGGAAAGAAACGGUGAGCUCUAACAUAGCUUGCUAAUGACGGUACCAGCAGAAGAAGCACCGGCUAACUACGUGCCAGCAGCCGCGGUAAUACGUAGGGUGCGAGCGUUAAUCGGAAUUACUGGGCGUAAAGCGUGCGCAGGCGGAUUGUUAAGCAAGAUGUGAAAUCCCCGAGCUUAACCUGGGAAUGGCAUUUUGAACUGGCAGUCUAGAGUGUGUCAGAGGGGGGUGGAAUUCCACGUGUAGCAGUGAAAUGCGUAGAGAUGUGGAGGAACACCGAUGGCGAAGGCAGCCCCCUGGGAUAACACUGACGCUCAUGUACGAAAGCGUGGGUAGCAAACAGGAUUAGAUACCCCUGUAGUC
rnacentral:rRNA from 1 species